rnacentral:rRNA from 1 species
ACGAACGCUGGCGGCAUGCCUAAUACAUGCAAGUCGAGCGGUGCAGCAAUGCAUAGCGGCGGACGGGUGAGUAACGCGUGGGCAACCUGCCUCAAAGAUUGGGGAUAACACCCCGAAAGGGGUGCUAAUACCGAGUGUGCUCUAGGUGCCGCAUGGCAUAUAGAGGAUAGGAGAAAUCCGUUUUGAGAUGGGCCCGCGUCUGAUUAGCUAGUUGGUAGGGUAACGGCCUACCAAGGCGACGAUCAGUAGCCG